AGGUGGGAGGCUUUGAAACCAGGACGCCAGUUUUGGCGGAGCCAUCCUUGGGAUACCACCCUUGUAGUACUGGGACUCUAACCAUAGGCCAUGAAUCUGGUCUUGGGACACUGUCAGGUGGGCAGUUUGACUGGGGCGGUCGCCUCCCAAAAGGUAACGGAGGCGCUCAAAGGUUCUCUCAGUACGGUCGGAAAUCGUACGUAGAGUGUAAAGGCAAAAGAGAGCUUGAUUGCAAGACAUACAGGUCGAGCAAGGAUGAAAAUCGGACUUAGUGAUCCGGUGGUUCUGCGUGGAAGGGCCAUCGCUCAACGGAUAAAAGCUACCCUGGGGAUAACAGGCUUAUCUCCCCCAAGAGUCCACAUCGACGGGGAGGUUUGGCACCUCGAUGUCGGCUCAUCACAUCCUGGGGCUGUAGUAGGUCCCAAGGGUUGGGCUGUUCGCCCAUUAAAGUGGUACGCGAGCUGGGUUCAGAACGUCGUGAGACAGUUCGGUCCCUAUCCGUCGCAGGCGUAGGAAAUUUGAGAAGACCUGUCCUUAGUACGAGAGGACCGGGAUGGACGUACCUCUGGUGUACCAGUUGUUCUGCCAAGGGCAUGGCUGGGUAGCUAUGUACGGAAUGGAUAAGCGCUGAAAGCAUCUAAGCGCGAAGCC
rnacentral:rRNA from 1 species